AUAAAUAAUAUUACAGCAACUUUACUUUAAGACGGUGUCUUUUAAUUUAGGCCUUUAAGCAGCAGAGGGUGCAGGAAUGUAGGAAACGGCAGGGUCAGGCAGUGAAGCCAUGAUUGAUGGCUUUGAUGAAAACGUUUGGUCUGCCUCUGGAACUGGGUUUUGAUCUGCAUUCAUAUCCAGAGACUCAUCGUUGUAAAUGUCCCACCAUUUUGCCACUAGCAUCUUGACGUCCUCUCUGUCCAUGUUCGCCUCCUUUCCUGUGUACCUCCAUGGUUUUGAUCCCUAUUUGAUUUCCACAAGAUAACAACAAAUUAAUGCAGACAAAGGUUAUUUAUCAAGUUGAAAUUUCAGUACAAUUAAUUAAUUGUGGUUAUUGUUAGAUAAUUAAUUCAGUGGCAUACAAUAUAUACUUAAAUUAAUUUGUAUAAGUAAUACAGCUGAUGAAUUUGAAGGUAAGACAACACUUACAGCUGCACAAUAGUGGACCACCUUUAUCUUGUCAAGCUCCACAUUCUCUGGGUGGCGCCAUAACAUUGCAAGAACCAGGUUGUAUACGAGAGGGAUGGGUUUGUACACUUUUUGGAAAAACAUAUUCAAGAAAUCCUGUCAAUUUUUGCAAUCAAGAAGAAAAUUAGAAACAUAUAUAUAUAUAUAUAUAUAUAUAUAUAUAUAUAUAUAUUAUUAUUANAUAUAUAUAUAUAUAUAUAUAUAUAUAUAUAUAUAUAUUUAUGAUUUAUUAAUUUUGUUGAUAUAUAGAAACCAAUUAAGAUUUAAGUGAUCAGUACCUGCUCUGCAAAUGGAGUUGGUGGGGUGAUCUGCAGAGUCUCAAGCAGGCUAUCGUAAGUCAAACAGCUAGGCUCAAACACGAACAUGCCGGCGUUGAAGUACAGAGGAGGAGGAGAUCCCAUCUCCGCCGGCCAUGUCACCUUAUCAGGGCACUGCUGGCAGUAACCAAUAGAGUAUUGGCGUGAAUGGCUCCAUACCUUCUCGCAAAAGCAGUCCAUUACAGCAUAGAAGUAGCCGUCUGGUGUGUCAAGAAGAUGGUCUAUGUUCUCGUACACUUGAAUAUCCGCAUCCAAAUACACCAUCUUGCUGUACUCCUCGAACUGUUAACAUGAUCGGUUGUAUCAUCAAAAUUUACGCCACCUCAGACUAAAACCAUGGAUUUCUUUUACAAUAUUCCAUUAAGACAUUUAACUCAGGGUUUUUAUUACUUGAAUCUGCAAACUACUCUUUGGUUCCUAGAUUCUGGGAUCAGAGAUAGACUGGAUUGAUGGGAGAUCAAGCUAAUUUUAUUUACUUACUAAAGAUUGAAUUAUAUAUAUAUAUAUAUAUAAUAUAAUAUUAUUGGUAAUAAAGGAAAAAGCUUACUGCCAUGGAGAUAAUUAGGUAACUAGACACAGACUAAAGUAACAAAAAAAGAUGCUUCUGAAAUUAAUAAUAUGAUAUUGAUGCCUUUGUUUCAACUUUGGAUUUAAAUGUUGUGUAGAUCAAAUUAAACAAAAAAAAAAAAGGAGUAGGUGGUAUCUAUUUUCGUUUGUACGGACUUUAUUCUAUAACGAAUCAAUGGAAUGGAUGAUAUAUAUAUAUAUAUAUGUUGGUUUUACAUUUACUUACGUUCCAUAUACGAAGCUUGGAGUAAUUGAUGACGUAGUAGGCCAUGGCAAAGUGAACCUGGUUCUGUGGUGGAUAAAUAGGCUCGAUCUCCCGAACAAUGCAACCUUGGGACCUCAAAAUCUCUCGGUGUUCCUCAGGCACAUCGGGCAAGAUAGCAACUACAAGAGGGUAUGCACUCUUGACCUUGCGCAAACCCUUGGCC
rnacentral:lncRNA from 1 species